rnacentral:rRNA from 1 species
CGGGACACGUGGUAUCCUGUCUGAAUAUGGGGGGACCAUCCUCCAAGGCUAAAUACUCCUGACUGACCGAUAGUGAACCAGUACCGUGAGGGAAAGGCGAAAAGAACCCCGGCGAGGGGAGUGAAAAAGAACCUGAAACCGUGUACGUACAAGCAGUGGGAGCCUCUUAAUGGGGUGACUGCGUACCUUUUGUAUAAUGGGUCAGCGACUUAUAUUCUGUAGCAAGGUUAACCGAAUAGGGGAGCCGAAGGGAAACCGAGUCUUAACUGGGCGUUAAGUUGCAGGGUAUAGACCCGAAACCCGGUGAUCUAGCCAUGGGCAGGUUGAAGGUUGGGUAACACUAACUGGAGGACCGAACCGACUAAUGUUGAAAAAUUAGCGGAUGACUUGUGGCUGGGGGUGAAAGGCCAAUCAAACCGGGAGAUAGCUGGUUCUCCCCGAAAGCUAUUUAGGUAGCGCCUCGUGAAUUCAUCUCCGGGGGUAGAGCACUGUUUCGGCAAGGGGGUCAUCCCGACUUACCAACCCGAUGCAAACUGCGAAUACCGGAGAAUGUUAUCACGGGAGACACACGGCGGGUGCUAACGUCCGUCGUGAAGAGGGAAACAACCCAGACCGCCAGCUAAGGUCCCAAAGUCAUGGUUAAGUGGGAAACGAUGUGGGAAGGCCCAGACAGCCAGGAUGUUGGCUUAGAAGCAGCCAUCAUUUAAAGAAAGCGUAAUAGCUCACUGGUCGAGUCGGCCUGCGCGGAAGAUGUAACGGGGCUAAACCAUGCACCGAAGCUGCGGCAGCGACGUUUAUGCGUUGUUGGGUAGGGGAGCGUUCUGUAAGCCUGCGAAGGUGUACUGUGAGGUAUGCUGGAGGUAUCAGAAGUGCGAAUGCUGACAUAAGUAA